GGUGCUGUCAGGUUGUACCUGCAUAAAGCUGGUCAAAGACUCAAUGAUCCUCACCACAGUGGCAGGAAGAAGAGUGAAUCAAGAGGUAUCCAAGAGCAGCAUGAAAACACACUAAUACAUGGACUAUGUGCAGAUCGGCAAACAUACCCAGCCCUGUUGUCCUGAAGCUUCCACUCCAGGUGAUUGUGUAUCUUGGGAGAUACCUGUGACCAAACUGGCAGCUAAUGUACAUGAAGGUGUCCUCUGCAGCAUCGUCAGAACAAGGGAAACAGUGAAAUUACCAGCGUUCAUCAACUGAGAAAUG